rnacentral:rRNA from 1 species
CACUUCUAAGGAAGGCAGCAGGCGCGCAAAUUACCCAAUCCUGACUCAGGGAGGUAGUGACAAGAAAUAACAAUAAACCGGCUUAUGCCGGUUUAAUUGGAAUGAGUACAAUUUAAACAUCUUAACGAGGAACAAUUGGAGGGCAAGUCUGGUGCCAGCAGCCGCGGUAAUUCCAGCUCCAAUAGCGUAUACUAAAGUUGUUGCAGUUAAAAAGCUCGUAGUUGGAUUUCUGUGGGGACGGAGCGGCCGGCCGCACAUCGCGGUUCGAGCUAGCGCUUUCCCUACAUCCUGCCGCGAACCGUGCUACCAUUAGUUUGGUGGCGCUGGGGAUCGGCUCGAUUACUUUGAGAAAAAUAGAGUGUUCAAAGCAGGCCACAUGCCUUGAAUAAGUUAGCAUGGAAUAAUAACUAAGGACUUCGGUUCUAUUUUGUUGGUGUUCGGGACUGAAGUAAUGAUUGAUAGGGGCAGUUGGGGCGGUCUGUAUUCCAAAGCGAGAGGUGAAAUUCUUAGACCUUCGGAAGACAAACAGCUGCGAAAGCGUUCCGCAAGGAUGUUCCCUUUGAUCAAGAACGAAAGUUGGGGGAUCGAAGACGAUCAGAUACCGUCGUAGUCUCAACUAUAAACUAUACCAGCUAGGGAUCGGCCAACGUUAUUUUAUACCGACUUGGUCGGCACCUUAUGAGAAAUCAAAGCAUCUGGGUUCCGGGGGGAGUAUGGUCGCAAGGCUGAAACUUAAAGGAAUUGACGGAAGGGCACCACCAGCCGUGGAGCCUGUGGCUUAAUUUGACUCAACACGGGAAAACUUACCAGGUCCAGACAUAGUAAGGAUUGACAGAUUGAUAGCUCUUUCUUGAUUCUGUGGGUGGUGGUGCAUGGCCGUUCUUAGUUGGUGGAGUGAUUUGUCUGGUUAAUUCCGUUAACGAACGAGACCCCAGCCUGCUAAAUAGCGCGCGUGAGCUUUGCUCGCGGCGAGCUUCUUAGAGGGACUAUGAUGCGCGAUAGCACAUGGAAGUUUGGGGCAAUAACAGGUCUGUGAUGCCCUUAGAUGUUCUGGGCCGCACACGGGCUACACUGGCGCCUGCAACGAGCAUAUCAGCUGGCCCGAGAGGGUCUUGGCUAAUCUUUUGAACCGGCGCCGUGCUUGGGAUUGACCUUUGCAAUUGUUGGUCAUGCAACGAGGAAUGCCUUGUAAACGCGAGUCAUCAGCUCGCAUUGAAUACGUCCCUGCCCUUUGUACACACCGCCCGUCGCUCCUACCGAUGAAUGUUCCGAUGAAAUUUUCGGAGAGCACCUGUGAACUUGGCUCUGCCUUGCGAACGGGAGGCUCAAAGUCACUUAAAUCUGAACAUUUCGAGG